rnacentral:rRNA from 1 species
GACGAACGCUGGCGGCGUGCUUAACACAUGCAAGUCGAACGAUGAAGCUGGAGCUUGCUCUAGCGGAUUAGUGGCGAACGGGUGAGUAACACGUGAGCAAUCUGCCCUUGACUCUGGGAUAACUGCGGGAAACUGUAGCUAAUACCGGAUACUUUCACCGGGGGGCAUCCUCUGGUGAUGAAAGAAUUUCGGUCAAGGAUGAGCUCGCGGCCUAUCAGCUUGUUGGUGAGGUAACGGCUCACCAAGGCGACGACGGGUAACCGGCCUGAGAGGGUGACCGGUCACACUGGGACUGGAACACGGCCCAGACUCCUACGGGAGGCAGCAGUGGGGAAUAUUGCACAAUGGGCGCAAGCCUGAUGCAGCAACGCCGCGUGAGGGAUGAAGGCCUUCGGGUUGUAAACCUCUUUUAGCAGGGAAGAAGCGAAAGUGACGGUACCUGCAGAAAAAGCACCGGCUAACUACGUGCCAGCCGCCGCAGCAA